rnacentral:rRNA from 1 species
UACGUAGGAGGCAAGCGUUGUCCGGAGUUACUGGGCGUAAAGGGCCCGCAGGCGGUGGAGUAAGUUUGGAGUGACAGUUCCCAGCUUAACCGGGAAAGGACUUCGAAAACUGCUCGACUUGAGGACUGGAGAGGAAGGCGGAAUUCCGGGUGGAGCGGUGAAAUGCGUAGAGAUCCGGAGGAACACCGACGGCGAAGGCAGCCUUCUGGAAAGUACCUGACGCUGAGGGGCGAAAGCGUGGGGAGCGAACAGG